UGUUUCAGCAGCCGCGGUAAUGCGUAGGGUGCAAGCGUUAAUCGGAAUUACUGGGCGUAAAGCGUGCGCAGGCGGUUAUGCAAGACAGAGGUGAAAUCCCCGGGCUCAACCUGGGAACUGCCUUUGUGACUGCAUGGCUAGAGUACGGUAGAGGGGGAUGGAAUUCCGCGUGUAGCAGUGAAAUGCGUAGAUAUGCGGAGGAACACCGAUGGCGAAGGCAAUCCCCUGGACCUGUACUGACGCUCAUGCACGAAAGCGUGGGAAGCAAACAGGAUUAGAUACCCUGGUAGUCCACGCCCUAAACGAUGUCAACUGGUUGUUGGGAGGGUUUCUUCUCAGUAACGUAGCUAACGCGUGAAGUUGACCGCCUGGGGAGUACGGCCGCAAGGUUGAAACUCAAAGGAAUUGACGGGGACCCGCACAAGCGGUGGAUGAUGUGGUUUAAUUCGAUGCAACGCGAAAAACCUUACCUACCCUUGACAUGCCAGGAAUCCUGAAGAGAUUUGGGAGUGCUCGAAAGAGAGCCUGGACACAGGUGCUGCAUGGCCGUCGUCAGCUCGUGUCGUGAGAUGUUGGGUUAAGUCCCGCAACGAGCGCAACCCUUGUCAUUAGUUGCUACGAAAGGGCACUCUAAUGAGACUGCCGGUGACAAACCGGAGGAAGGUGGGGAUGACGUCAGGUCAUCAUGGCCCUUAUGGGUAGGGCUACACACGUCAUACAAUGGCCGGGACAGAGGGCUGCCAACCCGCGAGGGGGAGCUAAUCCCAGAAACCCGGUCGUAGUCCGGAUCGUAGUCUGCAACUCGACUGCGUGAAGUCGGAAUCGCUAGUAAUCGCGGAUCAGCUUGCCGCGGUGAAUACGUUCCCGGGUCUUGUACACACCGCCCGUCAAAC
rnacentral:rRNA from 1 species